rnacentral:rRNA from 1 species
GGGGGGGGGGGGGGGGGGGGGGGGCGGGGGGGGGGCGGGCGGGAGGGCCGGGGUUUUGUGGGGGGCUCGAGGGGCGAGCGGGGGAGGAACAAGUGGGUCACCCGCCCGUGCCUUAGGGGUACCUUCCGGGAGCUGGGGGUAAGACCGGAGAGGAGCUCCUGCUUCAUGGGGGGGUUUGGAAAGUUUGGGCGGGUGGGGAUGGACUCGCGGGUAGUCACCUCGUGGGUGGGUUGGUGUCUUACCAAGGCAUUGACGGGUAGCCGGCCUGACGGGGUGACCGGCCCCAUUGGGACUGAGAUACGGCCCAGACUCCUCCGGGAGGCAGCAGGGGGGAAUAUUGCACAAUGGGCGGAAGCCUGAUGCAGCAACGCCGCGUGCGGGAUGACGGCCUUCGGGUUGUAAACCGCUUUCGCCUGUGACGAAGCGUGAGUGACGGUAAUGGGUAAAGAAGCACCGGCUAACUACGUG